rnacentral:rRNA from 1 species
UACGGAGGUGGCAAGCGUUGCUCGGAAUCACUGGGCGUAAAGCGCACGUAGGCGGCUUUUUAAGUCAGGGGUGAAAUCCUGGAGCUCAACUCCAGAACUGCCUUUGAUACUGAGAAGCUUGAGUCCGGGAGAGGUGAGUGGAACUGCGAGUGUAGAGGUGAAAUUCGUAGAUAUUCGCAAGAACACCAGUGGCGAAGGCGGCUCACUGGCCCGGUACUGACGCUGAGGUGCGAAAGCGUGGGGAGCAAACAGG